rnacentral:snoRNA from 1 species
GUUUAUGAUGAAAGCAUUGCUUUGCCCUUGCCGGGGCAACCUGAAUAAUACUGUAGAUAACAACAAUGCUGCCUUCCUUCUGAAAC